ACAUCYGGUCURGGUUGGUUGACGGUUAUCAUCCACUGAAAUUAAGCCUAACUAAAUAUUAACACAAAUCGGUUUAAGAAAGUCGUGCUGUAAAGUGUUUUAAACUUUUAAAAGUGUUAAGAAUGCUGUGAAAAACUACUUCCGGGUUUUGAGGUUAGCUUUUUUGUACAUUUUGUGGUGAUGGUUUUGUGUUUGUUCUCUACAUUUGAGACAAAGUUCUGUGCCGACCUGAGAUGUGCAGUUUUAGAAUAUCGGAGAACAGGAUUUCUAGGAGAUGUAGGUAAGUGACUAUUUUAUAAGCACUAGCGGAUUUCGGGUGAAAUUUUUAAUGAGGCGUAAAAUGACUGGAAAAAUUACAAUUACAUUUUUUUAUAUCUU